CUCUCUGGUUACAUGGUCAGUUGCCGGCUGGUGGCUGAAGGGGAGGAAAUACACCCUGUAGCUGGCUGGCUUCAAAGUGUUCGGCGCUUUGAGGAAAUCUCGGAAAGAAAGUUAAAUUUUCGUUACGUGGUGUAUUUCAUCAUAGUUGUCAAGCAAAAGCAUAUAGGAAAUUCUUGGUGUAUUGGGAACUGUUACGUAGCUGAUAUCAAAAGUAACAUGCUAUCCGGUAAUGGUGUAGUUUUAUCUACAGAAAAAAAAAGUAAGGCCGGAAGAAAAUACAUAUCAUAACCCAAGAUGUCAACUUAGUGCUAGAAUUGUGAGGAAACAUUUCAAACUUCAAAACAUAUUUAUUGCCCAGAUGAGCAGCAAUGUCGAUUUCCUGAGGAGCAAGUGACUCGAUUUUUAGUAACCUAAAUCAAUCAAGUGAACCUUCAUAAACGAUAUUAUAUGGGAUGGAGUGUUCUCCAAAGGGGAUUCUGAGAGGAGAUAAUCAUCCACCAUCACGGAGGAAGUGGAAUGCUUUCUGUCCGAGAAGAAUUAUUUCCUUAAGGAUAGAAAUUUAUGGAGCAAGUAGUCAACCUCGAACGCUUGAAAGUUUAUGUGCCGCAGAUUUAUGAGAUUUAAAUAGAAAAAAAAUUUAACUGUUCAGUAUAAUAUAAUGUCAUUGAUUAUAAUGGAUAGUAGAGAUUAUUUUAAUUGUUAAAUUUAAUAGGCAGACAUUGGUUAAUAUUGUUUUUUAUACUCUUAAGAAUCAAAGCGUUCCACAAAG